UUUCACCUUCCGCCACGAUUCUCAGGCCUCCCCAGCCAUGUGGAACUCUCUGCCCUCAUCAUGAGACCAUGCCCAGGCUAGUCUGCUGGAAGGAAGUCAGAGGCACACGGAAGAGAGCCACAUUCAGCCAAGGCCAUUCUAGACCAGUUGUUCCCUGUCACUUCACUAAUUGGCCACAGCACAAGGUAAGUACAGCCAAGAUCAGCAGAAUCACAACACAUGGACACAGGGAGGGAAACAACACACACUGGGGCCUGUCCAGCAGUAAGGUUGAGGCAGGGAAAGCAUUAGGAAAAAUAGCUAUGCAUGCUGGGCUGAAUACUGGGUGAUGGAUUGAUAGGUGCAGCAAACCACCAUGGCAUAUGUUUACCUUUGUAAGAAACCAGCACAUCCUGCACAUGUACCCUGGAAC
rnacentral:lncRNA from 1 species